rnacentral:lncRNA from 1 species
GGCGGAGCGGAGAGGGCGGGGCCAGAGGGGAGGGGCCGAGCGGGUCACGUGAUGCCGUUUGACUGUUUACAGGAGGCGCGGCGGAGCCCUCGGCCUCAGUCAGUCAGGCGCUGGGGAGCGGUUCGGUU